rnacentral:rRNA from 1 species
UAGUGGCGAACGGGUGAGUAACACGUGGGCAAUCUGCCCUUCACUCUGGGACAAGCCCUGGAAACGGGGUCUAAUACCGGAUAACACUCCUCAGAGCAUUCUGGGGGGUUAAAAGCUCCGGCGGUGAAGGAUGAGCCCGCGGCCUAUCAGCUUGUUGGUGGGGUAAUGGCCUACCAAGGCGACGACGGGUAGCCGGCCUGAGAGGGCGACCGGCCACACUGGGACUGAGACACGGCCCAGACUCCUACGGGAGGCAGCAGUGGGGAAUAUUGCACAAUGGGCGAAAGCCUGAUGCAGCGACGCCGCGUGAGGGAUGACGGCCUUCGGGUUGUAAACCUCUUUCAGCAGGGAAGAAGCGAAAGUGACGGUACCUGCAGAAGAAGCGCCGGCUAACUACGUGCCAGCAGCCGCGGUAAUACGUAGGGCGCAAGCGUUGUCCGGAAUUAUUGGGCGUAAAGAGCUCGUAGGCGGCUUGUCACGUCGGAUGUGAAAGCCCGGGGCUUAACCCCGGGUCUC